rnacentral:rRNA from 1 species
AUUGAACGCUGGCGGCAGGCCUAACACAUGCAAGUCGAACGAGCGGCGGACGGGUGAGUAAUGCCUAGGAAUCUGCCUGGUAGUGGGGGAUAACUACUGGAAACGGUAGCUAAUACCGCAUACCAUCGGAUGUGCCCAGAUGGGAUUAGCUUGUAGGUGGGGUAAAGGCCUACCAAGGCGACGAGCUGUAGCGGGUCUGAGAGGAUGAUCCGCCACACUGGGACUGAGACACGGCCCAGACUCCUACGGGAGGCAGCAGUGGGGAAUAUUGGACAAUGGGGGGAACCCUGAUCCAGCCAUGCCGCGUGUGUGAAGAAGGCCUUAUGGUUGUAAAGCACUUUAAGCGAGGAGGCGUUACUCGCAGAAUAAGCACCGGCUAACUCUGUGCCAGCAGCCGCGGUAAUAC